rnacentral:lncRNA from 1 species
UUUUAAAAUAGAGACCAACGUGGCCGGGCAGGAAGAGCAGGGUCCCGCCUUCAGUGUAACAUCAGACAAGGGUGUUGACUCUGCAGCACAGAACCAGUAGUUUGUGGAGAAGAAUGGAGGUGUGGUGUUGAAUCUGCUAGACAGGCUACUGAAGCAAAAGUCAAGAGAUCCAGAUUCCAUCAUGGGGACACUUUAGUUCUUCAUCGGGUAAUUGAGCUGAUAUCAGGUGUCUGAAGGAGGCAAGUUUUGAAGAUGUGGGUCAUGAUGGCUGCUGAAGCUUCCACUCCAUAUUUGAAGGUCAGCAGUUCUCAGGAAACCUCUAGCACUUCCAUCCCUGGUGGGAUGUGAUGCCUGUCUCAGUGUAACAUCAGAGAAGGGGUGUACUCUGUGCCCUAGAACUAGGAGCUAACAGAGAAAAACCAAAUGUGAUGUGGAGUCUGCUAGACAGGCUACUGGAGCAAGAGUGAAGCGAUGAAAGUCUCAUCAUUGGGACAUAUUAGGGAGGCAGCAGGUGGCUGAAAUCCUGGUGUGAUGUGGCUGGAUCAUGCAUGAUCUGAGGACUCCUGCACAGGUGACUGCAGGAUGAGUACAGAAUUUUUCUAUAAAUAUACUAAAAUACCAAGUAAGCCAGGAGCAGCCACUAGGCAAACACCAAACCUUGCAUUCCUGGCCAAACCUAUCACAGAGCUCAUCAGGUAAGUUCAAAGACACACCUGUCUUCCCAGCAUUGGGAACUGGAUUGGGGUCUACUCAGAGGCAUGAUGUUGACCAGAUUUUAUGAAACACCCAAGAAUGUAGAGAACAUUCUGUCUUUAAAACCUUGAAUUCAAAACAUAUCAGAGAGAGAUUUACUUCCCUUAUAUGGAUGUCUGUGUUCUCAUUAGGAGAGAAACAAUGAAAAAUGACUUUUCACAAUGCCUGCCUUAGCCGUGAGGCUCAGCCAACCCCCACUUCUAUGUCUCAGCAUUUAAAGGGCAAUUGAAGUCCCACUCCAUGCUAUAUACUCUCAAGAGGUUUUCUCAUUUACCCUUCAGAACAGCUCUGUAAAGAUGGUAUGGUCAGUCCCAUUUCACAGAUGACUAAGCUCAGGCUCACAGAGCCUAAGUCACCCCUCCAGGUAAGUGGCAGGGUUGGAAUGAGGUUCUAUUCCUCACCCUCCCUAGAGAACCCUGAGCAGCUUCCGUUUUAGAAGAUGGGUUUCCAGGGCUUGAGAAAUGGUCAGAUUCCCCCCUGAUAUUGUGGCCCCACAGGUCCUCACUCCACAACCCCUCUGGGUGAUGAGGAAGACAGAAGAGGUGAAAUCCUGCGCUUUGUGCCAUGAGAUCUGGGUGUAGGGCCACAGGAGUUAGCUAAUCCUUGAAGUGGUGAGUGGGCUCAGGCAGAAGCUCAAGUGUUGGCCUUGGGACAGGUGAGCUGGAGAGAAGGAAAGUAACAUGCACUGAACCACUGUAAGCAAAUGCAAUUUACAGCUCAUCUCCUUUAAUCCUAACAACCAUUUAAGAUACUCAUCAUUCUGACCAUUAUUCAGAUCAGUGUGCUGUCUUUAGGGGAGUUUAUGUAAGUCAGGGAAACAACCUAGUUGUCCUGUGAUCAUCAGCUAACUCUGGAAUACUCCAAAGUUGUAUCAUUUUCUCUUGAUGUCUCCAGGGCUCUGAAUGUUCUAAUCUCCCUGCAGGCUGAUAGCGCCUGCUCCUCAUGGUGUUAUUCAACAUUUUUUCUUUUUAAAUUAUGACCUGUAUAUUUUUGUCACAUUAUUGACAUUUAAAACACUUUCUCAGUAAAAAUAAGGCUAAACAUUUUUUAACUUAAGGGAGAAAACAUUUGCAAACUACAUCUCAGAUACUGGGUUAGUAUCCAUGAUUUGUGAACCACAUUCUGUAACAAAAUGACUGGCAGCUGUUUUCAACAGACAUUCUCAUUAAAAUGUACAUGAACAAUAAACAUGUUAAAAUAUGUCAAAACUGGAAGUACUAAUAAGAUGCAAAUAUAAAUCUUCAAGAGAAUAUUAUGUGGAAGAAAAAAGUUGCAAAAAAAAUUAGUACUGUGAUUCACUUUUGGAACAGAUUGUGUGUUUGCGUGCACCUCACCUACAGGGACACAUCUGGAGAGUAUGCACCAUUCUGUUGACAACAGACCCUUUUGGGUCAGAGGGUAGGCUUCAGGCCAGUGAGAUAUGCAGAUUCAUUUCAAUUUAUAAAUAUACUUUUAUACAUUGUUUGAAAUUUUGUAUUUAGGGAAAAAAGCAUUUCAAUAAAUACUUUUGAAUAGAUUGGCAACAGUAAUUGUAAUGUAUUUCAUUAAUUCGAAAGUACAUUCAUUGUAUUCAAUUUUGUAUUGAGACAAAGUAGAUAAAAAUGGAAUUGAUAAUGUCUAUGUGUGUGAGUGUGUGUGUGUGUGUGUGUGUGUAUCUUCUCUUGCUCUAUCACCCAAAUAAACAUACGUGCAGCUUUACCUUUAAUUCAGACAGGGGAUGGAACCAAUAUCAGUUUUAGAUAUCCCAGAAAAUAGUGGAUACAGAGAGACAGCUACCAUGAGCUGAAUAAUUCCGGAAGACUCCAGCUGAUACCUUCUGGGAGCCAAAUUCCCAAACUCCAUCCCUCUUUCCCUCUUACCGAGGCCCUUGGCUGACAGAGAUGCAAUCCUGUCUCUGGGCACCAGAUGGCAUCGAUCUCUUUAUUUUUUUUUUUUUAAUAAAAAGGAGUAUAUUUUGUAGAGUAACGAAGGACUUAAAAUGGUUUGUUUACCAUGAUCAUAAUUCUGU